GACCUAAUGGCCAACGGUGGCGCCCGCACCGCAUUAGUAAUGAGUGUGUUUUGAUGUGAGCGGGAGGUCCUGGUUCGAUUCCAGGUUGGGUCA